CUCAAUGUCACUUCGGCCACUGCGGGACGGUCUCCAAGGUCCAGUGGCCAGCUGCCCGGGGCCUGGCCCUGAGACAAGACUCAGUUCCGGCUCCCCCAACCCCAGAAGCUUCCUCAGCCCCUCCUGCUUCCAUGGAUGCUAUUGUCACCCUGGUGGUAGCUCACGUCAUUGCUGCCUGAAAUUCUCACUGGAUUCUUUCCUCCACCGGACCCUGCUUCCAGUGGUGCCACCCUUCUGCGGUGAGGGACGUGUACAGAAGAGCUCGAACUGAGGAAUUGAUCUUCCCAGGUCCCACUUUGGGCUUCUCUGCGCCUGUUGCCGUGUCUCAACCUCCCUCUGUCCCAGGCCCCCUUGCUGUUUCUCCAUCCAAACACUAGCCAGGCCCGGCCCUGCCCAGCUCCUGAGACUGACCAGAUGGGCACAUUCGGGACAGUGUGGUCCUGUGCUAUUUCUUAAGCACAGCCUUCACGCCAGACCUAAGCUGCCAGAGGGUCUAAAAACGAUGUUUCCUGGCGUCUGCCCUGGGGAGGCAUGGGGGCUGAGGGUUGAUGCUGCCCCACAGGGAGAGGGGGCAGGAGAGUUCCUCGGGGCCAGUGGAAAACAUCGGCCUCCCACCUGUCUGGAAGGGGAGCUCCAUGCACUAGCCUGUUUGUUUCCAGCUGUUCGUGUCACAUGACCUUAUAUAAUAUGGGUGCACAUUUAUCUCGCUAGUCUGUUCUACCCUGAUACUGUCAGCUUUCUGGGCAGUGGGGUCUGUACUCGACCACUUCUGCAUCCUCAGGUUUUAAUGCCCAUCCAGGCACAGAGUUUCCAUUAAGUAAAUGUGUCAAAUAAAUAGAUGGGUGGGUGGAGGGGUAGCAAGGCAUACUGCAAUCGUUAAGGAGUUUAGACACACACACACACACACACACACACACACA